rnacentral:rRNA from 1 species
GACGAACGCUGGCGGCGUGCUUAACACAUGCAAGUCGAACGGAAAGGCCCUGCUUUUGUGGGGUGCUCGAGUGGCGAACGGGUGAGUAACACGUGAGUAACCUGCCCUUGACUUUGGGAUAACUUCAGGAAACUGGGGCUAAUACCGGAUAGGAGCUCCUGCUGCAUGGUGGUGGUUGGAAAGUUUCGGCGGUUGGGGAUGGACUCGCGGCUUAUCAGCUUGUUGGUGAGGUAGUGGUUUACCAAGGCUUUGACGGGUAGCCGGCCUGAGAGGGUGACCGGCCACAAUGGGACUGAGGUACGGCGCAGACUCCUACGGGAGGCAGUAGUGGGGAAUAUUGCAGAAUGGGCGGAAGCCUGAUGCAGCAACGCCGCGUGCGGGAUGACGGCCUUCGGGUGGUAAACCGCUUUCGCCUGUGACGAAGCGUGAGUGACGGUAAUGGGUAAAGAAGCACCGGCUAACUACGUG